UGAGAUUACAAGUGUGAGCCACUAAUGACCAGCUCACAUGAGAACUCACUCACUGUUGUGAGGACAGUACCAUGAAGAAUGGCAUUAACCAUUCAUGAGAAAUCUGUCCCCAUGAUCCAGUCACCUCCCACCAGGCCCCAUCUCCAACACUGGGGAUUACAGCUGAACAUGAGAUUUGGGCAGGAACACAGAUCCAAACCAUAUCAGGUGGUGCAUUUGGUUA
rnacentral:lncRNA from 10 species